rnacentral:rRNA from 1 species
UACGUAGGGGGCAAGCGUUGUCCGGGUUUAUUGGGCGUAAAGAGCGUGUAGGCGGCCAGGUAGGUCUGCUGUGAAAACUCGAGGCUUAACCUCGAGCUGUCGGCGGAAACCAUCUGGCUAGAGUCCGGAAGAGGAGAAUGGAAUUCCCGGUGUAGCGGUGAAAUGCGCAGAUAUCGGGAAGAACACCCGUGGCGAAGGCGGUUCUCUGGGACGGUACUGACGCUGAGGGGCGAAAGCGUGGGGAGCGAACAGG